rnacentral:rRNA from 1 species
GACGAACGCUGGCGGCGUGCCUAAUACAUGCAAGUAGAACGCUGAAGGAGGAGCUUGCUUCUCCGGAUGAGUUGCGAACGGGUGAGUAACGCGUAGGUAACCUGCCUGGUAGCGGGGGAUAACUCUUGGAAACGAUAGCUAAUACCGCAUAAGAGUAGAUGUUGCAUGACAUUUGCUUAAAAGGUGCAAUUGCCUCACUACCAGAUGGACCUGCGUUGUAUUAGCUAGUUGGUGAGGUAACGGCUCACCACGGCGACGAUACAUAGCCGACCUGAGAGGGUGAUAGGCCACACUGGGACUGAGACACGGCCCAGACUCCUACAGGAGGCAGCAGUAGGGAAUCUUCGGCAAUGGACGGAAGGCUGACCGAGCAACGACGCGUGAGGGAAGAAGGUUUUCGGAUCGGAAAGCUCUGUUGUAAGAGAAGAACGAGUGUGGGAGUGGAAAGUUCACAAUGUGACGGUAUCUUACCAGAAAGGGACGGCUAACUACGUG